rnacentral:rRNA from 1 species
UACGGAGGGUGCAAGCGUUAUCCGGAUUCACUGGGUUUAAAGGGUGCGUAGGUGGAGUGGUAAGUCAGUGGUGAAAUCUCCAAGCUUAACUUGGAAACUGCCGUUGAUACUAUCAUUCUUGAAUAUCGUGGAGGUAAGCGGAAUAUGUCAUGUAGCGGUGAAAUGCUUAGAUAUGACAUAGAACACCAAUUGCGAAGGCAGCUCACUACACGAAUAUUGACACUGAGGCACGAAAGCGUGGGGAUCAAACAGG